GCUCACAAACAAAUGAAGUUAAAUCGUCAUUGCCCACCACAACAAACCAAACAUUGACAUCAAUGCAGGUCCACUCCGAAAGACAAUUGGAGAGAACGAACAUACAGGCGUCGCAAAAUCUAGAGCUUGUGCCAGCUGAAAAUAUGCCCGAAGUAAGCAACGAAGAAGUGGUUACAUCCACGAUUGUAAUGCCUGAGGUUCCGGAAAUUAUUUACGGACCAUUGACGGAAGCAGACCAACAUCACGAGAACAAGCGGUUAUGUAAACUUCACAACUUCCGGGCGCCAAUUCAUUACAAAAAAUUUAAUAAAUUGGAUUUUCGCUAUGCCAGAAAGUUUGGGAACAAUGAUCUCGAAGAAGGCUAUGUAUUUCUAACUGAUGAGGAGAUUUCUGCGAUACCACGAAAAAUUGCGAAGCCAUUUUGCCACCCAGGCCCUGAAUUGACGGAAAAACUAUUCGACUGGUAUUUGGUGGACUCCAUCGUACAGGAAGUAAAACUCAAAAUUGACCAUUUUCCCAAUUACAUCGUACGUUGGGUC